AGGAAAAGAAACCAACAGGGAUUGCCCCAGUAACGGCGAGUGAAGCGGCAACAGCUCAAAUUUGAAAUCUGGCCUCGGCCCGAGUUGUAAUUUGCAGAGGAUGUUUCUGGCGCGGUGCCUUCUGAGUUCCCUGGAACGGGACGCCAUAGAGGGUGAGAGCCCCGUACGGUUGGACGCCUAGCCUGUGUGAAACUCCUUCGACGAGUCGAGUAGUUUGGGAAUGCUGCUCAAAAUGGGAGGUAUAUCUCUUCUAAAGCUAAAUACCGGCCAGAGACCGAUAGCGCACAAGUAGAGUGAUCGAAAGAUGAAAAGCACCUUGAAAAGGGGGUUAAACAGCACGUGAAAUUGUUGAAAGGGAAGCGCCCAUGACCAGACUUGUGCCCGGCGGAUCACCCAGCGUUCUCGCUGGGGCACUCCGCCGGGCCCAGGCCAGCAUCGGUUUUCGCCGGGGGACAAAGGCUCUGGGAACGUAGCUCCUCCGGGAGUGUUAUAGCCCUCUGCGUAAUACCCUGGCGGGGACCGAGGUACGCGCUCCGCAAGGAUGCUGGCGUAAUGGUCAUCAGCGACCCGU
rnacentral:rRNA from 1 species